UGGGGAAUAUUGGACAAUGGAGGAAACUCUGAUCCAGCAAUUCUGUGUGUGUGAAGAAGGUUUUAGGACUGUAAAACACUUUUAGUAGGGAAGAAAAAAAUGACGGUACCUACAGAAGAAGCAACGGCUAAAUACGUGCCAGCAGCCGCGGUAAUACGUAUGUUGCCAGCGUUAUCCGGAAUUAUUGGGCUUAAAGGGCAUCUAGGCGGUAAGACAAGUUGAAGGUGAAAACCUGUGGCUCAACCAUAGGCUUGCCUACAAAACUGUUGAACUAGAGUACUGGAAAGGUGGGUGGAACUACACGAGUAGAGGUGAAAUUCGUAGAUAUGUGUAGGAAUGCCGAUGAUGAAGAUAACUCACUGGACAGAAACUGACGCUGAAGUGCGAAAGCUAGGGGAGCAAACAGG
rnacentral:rRNA from 1 species